AACGAACGCUGGCGGCAUGCCUAACACAUGCAAGUCGAACGAGACCUUCGGGUCUAGUGGCGCACGGGUGCGUAACGCGUGGGAACCUGCCCUUAGGUUCGGAAUAACUCCCCGAAAGGGGUGCUAAUACCGGAUAAUGUCUUCGGACCAAAGAUUUAUCGCCUUUGGAUGGGCCCGCGUUGGAUUAGCUAGUUGGUAGGGUAAAAGCCUACCAAGGCGACGAUCCAUAGCUGGUCUGAGAGGCUUGUCAGCCACACUGGGACUGAGACACGGCCCAGACUCCUACGGGAGGCAGCAGUGGGGAAUAUUGGACAAUGGGCGGAAGCCUGAUCCAGCAAUGCCGCGUGAGUGAUUAAGGCCUUAGGGUUGUAAAGCUCUUUUACCCGCGAUGAUAAUGACAGUACCGGGAGAAUAAGCUCCGGCUAACUCCGUG
rnacentral:rRNA from 1 species